UACAGAGGGUGCGAGCGUUAAUCGGAAUUACUGGGCGUAAAGCGCACGUAGUCGGCUUUGCAAGUCGGGUGUGAAAUCCCCGGGCUCAACCUGGGAACUGCAUCCGAGACUGCAUUGCUAGAGUAUGGGAGAGGGAAGCGGAAUUUCUGGUGUAGCAGUGAAAUGCGUAGAUAUCAGGAAGAACACCGGUGGCGAAGGCGGCUCUCUGGGCCUUACCUGACGCUGAGGAGCGAAAGCGUGGGUAGCGAACAGG
rnacentral:rRNA from 1 species